ACUCUGGAACUGCCUUUGAAACUGUGAGACUCGAGUGCGGGAGAGGUGAGUGGAAUUCCCAGUGUAGAGGUGAAAUUCGUAGAUAUUGGGAAGAACACCGGUGGCGAAGGCGGCUCACUGGCCCGUUUCUGACGCUCAUGCACGACAGCGUGGGGAUCAAACAGGAUUAGAUACCCUGGUAGUCCACGCCGUAAACUAUGGACGCUAGCCGUUGUCCAGCUUGCUGGUCAGUGGCGCAGCUAACGCAUUAAGCGUCCCGCCUGGGGAGUACGGCCGCAAGGUUGAAACUCAAAGGAAUUGACGGGGGCCCGCACAAGCGGUGGAGCAUGUGGUUUAAUUCGACGCAACGCGCAGAACCUUACCAGGGUUUGACAUCCUGUGCUCGCCGGAGAGAUCCGGUUUUCCCGCAAGGG
rnacentral:rRNA from 1 species